AUGGGAUCCCGGCUCCUGUGCUGUGCAGCCCUUUGUCUCCUGGGAGCCGGACCUAUGGAUUCUGGAGUCAUUCAAAUACCAAGACAACUGACUAAAGCAAGAGGACAGCAAGCGACACUGAGUUGUUCCCCUAGCUCUGAGCACGACACUGUAUCUUGGUACAAACAGGCCCUGGGCCAGGGCCCCCAGUUCCUCGUUCAGUAUUACAAUGAGGAGGAGAGACAGAAAGGAGACAUCUCAGGUCGAUUCUUAGGGCGACAGUUCCCUGACCGAAGCUCUGAGUUGAACGUGAGCGUCUUGGAGCUGACAGACUCGGCCCUGUAUCUCUGUGCCAGCAGCUUGGCACAGCCCUGUGUGAUCAGCAGCCUUCAGCACAAAAACAUUCUUGCCCCAGCUCAGGAAGUGACAGCGAGGGUGGCGGCUGCCAGUCAGACAGGCUCAGGCCCUCAUGUAUCAGACAGGCCUUUCCCAGACACUCUUCCUGCUGCUUCUGUAUGCGAUGUGUUUUAUGCUCACAGAAAUCAUGAAAAAUAA